AGCAAUAGCAACCUCUUUGUACAGAAGGAUGUAGAUCUGAACACCUUGUUUUGCUUUGGCUUCCAGUAAAGCAUCGAGCCGGAAGGAUGCAUUAGUGUGAAAGGGACGUCGCAUAUAAAGUUCGGGGCACAGCCACCAGCCACAUAUAAAGAUCUCUGACUUGGCUUCUUCAAUAGCCAAAGCUAUAGCUUCAAAUGCUGAUUCACCAUCAACAAACCACUGGGCCUGACUGCCAUCCUCUGUCAAACCCCUGGGAGGAGCAUAAGAACCAAAGCGGUGAGGAUGACACCAUCCUUCAGGUGGCCUAAGCCCUGCAUCAUUAAUUGCUGCUACCCAAUCUUUAACCUUUGCAUCACUCUUGGUCCUCAGCUUGAUACACCUUGAACCACAAGACACCCUAAAAUAGUGGCGUAAAGGAUUUCCAUCUUUUAUUUCUUUUGCUAAAGAGACACGACCCUCUCCAUUGCCAUCGGAGGCUGGUAGUACAUCAAACACUAUUAUAUCCAACGGCUCAGGGUCACAUGGAUCUUUGAGGAAAGCCAAGAAUCCAGGUUUCAAUACA
rnacentral:misc_RNA from 1 species